UCGGAUCAGUCGUGAUUACCCACUGAACUUAAGCAUAUCAAU
rnacentral:rRNA from 1 species